AGCAAAAUGAUGAAAUUUUAUUAUCUGAAUCUUAUGUUGAUUCCUAAUAUUAAUGGUCUUCAAAGUUCUCUGAUUGCU
rfam:Cicer arietinum chromosome Ca2, whole genome shotgun sequence.